GAUGAACGCUGGCGGCGUACCUAAUACAUGCAAGUCGAGCGAACAGGCGAGGAGCUUGCUCCUCUGACGUUAGCGGCGGACGGGUGAGUAACACGUGGAUAACCUACCUAUAAGACUGGGAUAACUUCGGGAAACCGGAGCUAAUACCGGAUAAUAUAUUGAACCGCAUGGUUCAAUAGUGAAAGACGGUUUUGCUGUCACUUAUAGAUGGAUCCGCGCCGCAUUAGCUAGUUGGUAAGGUAACGGCUUACCAAGGCAACGAUGCGUAGCCGACCUGAGAGGGUGAUCGGCCACACUGGAACUGAGACACGGUCCAGACUCCUACGGGAGGCAGCAGUAGGGAAUCUUCCGCAAUGGGCGAAAGCCUGACGGAGCAACGCCGCGUGAGUGAUGAAGGUCUUCGGAUCGUAAAACUCUGUUAUUAGGGAAGAACAAAUGUGUAAGUAACUAUGCACGUCUUGACGGUACCUAAUCAGAAAGCCACGGCUAACUACGUG
rnacentral:rRNA from 1 species